GGGGUCGUAGCUCAGUUGGUAGAGCACCUGCUUUGCAAGCAGGGGGUCGUCGGUUCGAGACCGUCCGACUCCACCA
rnacentral:tRNA from 1 species